AUCUGUAUAGUUUAAAUAAAAACUUUAAUCUUGUAAAUUAAAUAUAGAUUAUAUUCUUACAGGUA
rnacentral:tRNA from 1 species